ACACCCCUACGGGGCGCAGCAGUGAGGAAUAUUGGUCAAUGGGCGGAAGCCUGAACCAGCCAAGUCGCGUGAGGGAAUAAGGCCCUACGGGUCGUAAACCUCUUUUGCCGGGGAGCAAGGGCCGGGACGCGUCCCGGCCCGGAGAGUACCCGGAGAAAAAGCAUCGGCUAACUCCGUGCCAGCAGCCGCGGUAAUACGGAGGAUGCGAGCGUUAUCCGGAUUUAUUGGGUGUAAAGGGUGCGUAGGCGGGCUUUUAAGUCAGCGGUAAAAAUUCGGGGCUCAACCCCGGCCGGCCGUUGAAACUG
rnacentral:rRNA from 1 species